rnacentral:rRNA from 1 species
UACGUAGGGGCCGAGCGUUGUCCGGAGUUAUUGGGCGUAAAGCGCGCGCAGGCGGCCUCGCGCGCCCGACGUGAAAGCCCCCGGCUUAACCGGGGAGGGUCGUGGGGACCGCACCGCUUGAGGCGGUAGGGGCUGGUGGAAUGCCUGGUGUAGUGGUGAAAUGCGUAGAGAUGCGGAGGAACACCGAUGGCGAAGGCAGCCCCCUGGGCCGACACUGACGCUCAGGCACGAAAGCGUGGGGAGCAAACAGG